UUAGUUAGUGUCAGCAACGCUCCCCAAGGCACGAUCGUAGCGACUUGGAGGCGAUCGGCCCCACCGGCCUCAACCCGUCCAGAUUCUACGGGAGGAGCAGUAGGAAUCUUCCGCAAUGACGAAAGUCUGACGGACCACCGCCGCGUGAGUGAUGAAGGUCUUCGGAUCGUAAAGCUCUGUUGUUAGGGAAGAACCAAGUCCCGUUCGAAUAGGCCGGUACCUUGACGGUACCUAACCAGAAAGCCACGGGUAACUACGUGCCAGCAGCCGCGGUAAUACGUAGGUGGCAAGCGUUGUCCGGAAUUAUUGGGCGUAAAGGGCUCGCAGGCGGUUUCUUAAGUCUGAUGUGAAAGCCCCCGGCUCAACCGGGGAGGGUCAUUGGAAACUGGGGAACUUGAGUGCAGAAGAGGAGAGUGGAAUUCCACGUGUAGCGGUGAAAUGCGUAGAGAUGUGGAGGAACACCAGUGGCGAAGGCGACUCUCUGGUCUGUAACUGACGCUGAGGAGCGAAAGCGUGGGGAGCGAACAGGAUUAGAUACCCUGGUAGUCCACGCCGUAAACGAUGAGUGCUAAGUGUUAGGGGGUUUCCGCCCCUUAGUGCUGCAGCUAACGCAUUAAGCACUCCGCCUGGGGAGUACGGUCGCAAGACUGAAACUCAAAGGAAUUGACGGGGGCCCGCACAAGCGGUGGAGCAUGUGGUUUAAUUCGAAGCAACGCGAAGAACCUUACCAGGUCUUGACAUCCUCUGACAAUCCUAGAGAUAGGACGUCCCCUUCGGGGGCAGAGUGACAGGUGGUGCAUGGUUGUCGUCAGCUCGUGUCGUGAGAUGUUGGGUUAAGUCCCGCAACGAGCGCAACCCUUGAUCUUAGUUGCCAGCAUUCAGUUGGGCACUCUAAGGUGACUGCCGGUGACAAACCGGAGGAAGGUGGGGAUGACGUCAAAUCAUCAUGCCCCUUAUGACCUGGGCUACACACGUGCUACAAUGGACAGAACAAAGGGUAGCGAAACCGCGAGGUUAAGCCAAUCCCACAAAUCUGUUCUCAGUUCGGAUCGCAGUCUGCAACUCGACUGCGUGAAGCUGGAAUCGCUAGUAAUCGCGGAUCAGCAUGCCGCGGUGAAUACGUUCCCGGGCCUUGUACACACCGCCCGUCACACCACGAGUAGUUUGUAACACCCGAAGUCGGUGAGGUAACCUUUUAGUAGCCAGCCGCCGUAGUGACGGGUCUUCCCCCUACGCC
rnacentral:rRNA from 1 species